rnacentral:rRNA from 1 species
GCAUGGCCGUUCUUAGUUCGUGGAGUGAUCUGUCUGCUUAAUUGCGUAUCAAUAAUAGAGACCUAGUAUACGCGUAGACUCACGCGGUAGUGACCCCCCUUCAUAGGGCGCGUGUCGCACGUAUGUUAUACGCACAGGUCUCCGAUAGCAACGAACGUGACCGUACUCUAUUGUUGCAGCGACAAUACCUUUCAACGGGUAUUACCGCUGCUUAGCAAGAUUCGUCUUGCAUUAAACUAUAGAGACCGCUGUUUCUUCUUUAAACCAGAGGAAGGAUACGGCAAUAACAGGUCUGUGAUGCCCUCAGAUGUUCCGGGCUGCACACGUGCUACAAUGAUCAUUGCACUGUGCAUCUAACCCAAUGUGCGCGGACGCCGCCGUGCGUAUAUACUUUAUUGUGUAUGCGUAUCGUGCGUGCGACCGCGCCGAACCUGCUUCGAAAGUAAACAUUUCCAGCGGGUAAUCCAUUAGAAGUAAUGACUCGCAUAGACCAUGGCACACUAUAUGUACCCGCGGGUUCUACCCGGCUCGCCUUUGUGUGAGUGCAGUGCGUAGCUCGUUGUUUGGUACGUGCCACUCCGUAUUAAUUCAUACGUGGGGAUAGAUCAUUGUUUAAUUGUUGGUCUCGGUCCUAACUAGGAAUGCCUUGUACGGGUCUUUGGUUCAACAUACCACCCGGAAUACGUCCCUGCCCUUUGUACACACCGCCCGUCGCUCUUACCGAUGGAUUAUACUAUGAAUCUAUAGGACUGCCAAAGUUGCUCUUCGCGGCGCGCUUAGUGGAAAUAUAUAUGAAUAGUGGAU